CUUAGGUUUUAAUUUCACCUAAAUCCAACUCUCCCUCCUUUGCACACCCUAGAUCUACCUCCACCCCAGAUCUACCUCCUUCACAUGCCAAAUUUGUUUCACCUCCGCGUGAUUAGUGGUGGCAAUGAUUCUCCCUCCUUCGCACACCAGAUUGAGAACCAUACCUCACACCAACGUGAAGGCCACAAGCCCGCCCAAAAACCCUAAUCACACCCGUAUCCUUCACUACCGACAUAUCCUUUGUUUUUCGAAUCAUUUCCGUUCAGCUUGAAACAUGUGUCUGUUACUUUCGUUGGUGGAUUUUUAUUGAAGGGAGCAAAGAUGGCAGUUCGUUUGAUGACAGAACGUUAGGUUUGCAUUUCUCGUGGUAUUUUGCUGCUAAUAACAAGUUUAUACUCAAGUUAGCAUAUAAAUGUGGUGUUGAUAGUUGGUUUUGAAGGUCUCUAUGUUUGAAUACAAUGUGUUUGAUGAAAUGCCUAAAUGAAAAUUAAUCAAGAGCUCAAUUUUGUUUUUCCUAAAUACCAUGGGUUCGAGUUUUGAAAGGUCGUUUCUUGAAAAACAAUAAUUAGUUUGAUAAUUAUCAUUAAGGUGCAUAUUUCCAAUCUUCUUAAAAUGUUAUUUGUAACAUGUCUUUACAGACAUCUAAGUUACACCAGAAAGGGGCUACCAAAAAAUAGGGUGUUAUGAGCCGAUUGGAAGUAGCAUACCUCGUGUUCAUAAAGUACUAUUUUUUCUUGUUUCAAAUCAUUAAGAGAAAUGAUUUUUUUUUACUUGAGUUCAUAAACAAAAAAAAAAAAAUAAUGGAUAUUAUAAGUGGAAAAGUUGUGGAGAGCAAAGGAUGCCAAGAUCCUAAUAGCGGAUGAAUUGAGCAAGAGUGGGGACUCGCUUUGCCCCCGGUGUGACUAUUUGCAGGAAAUGAAAAACCACAUUCUUGUUUCGUGUCUUAGGGCAAAAACACUUUACUGGUCCAACGAUGUGUGGCUCAAAGUACCGUCACUUUGUUUCCUCAUCUAAACUAUAAUCCAGUUCCUCCAUCGCAGCAUUUGUUCUUUCAAGCUUUUCUUCCGAUGAAAUUCUACUUCAGGUAUCAUUAUUGGGUUACAGGAUUGAUACAAAAGAUGAGGUGUAAUUUGAACCCAUCUCUUUCAUAUGCAAGUUCGAUAGAGCCAUUCGCACUGGCGGAUGUGUAGAUGCUCUUAUCAACAACCAUUGCGAUUUUGUACAUAUGAUUGUAUUCACUUUGUGAAGUGGUGCCUAUGCAUAUAUGUAGGUACACCAUUAAAAUCUGUAUAAUUAUUAAUGUGUUGUGAUGGCUUAAGAGCAUGAGGAUGAUGGAACAUGUAUAUUCUGUAAAGAAGGGAUUCGCAAAAGGAAAUGUCGUUCCCUACAUAUCCUCAUGAAUAUCAGAAUCCAAAUGCUUCCAGUGAUAUCAUUUCAGAUGAAACAGUCUCAACAUGGAACAUCUUGAUUCACCCAUGUUCGAACAGAAAAAUCUGGACCGUAAAAAAUUUUUAUUGUUAUUGGAUGGCGUAACUUAAUGAAUCCAUAAGAAAUCUCCAUAGGCGAUGCUUGUGUGUUCAAAGAUCUAUAAGGCAAGGUAUGUUAUUUGUUUUAAAGGUUCCAUAAAUGUUCCAGUAGGUGAUUAGGAUGGUUUCAAAUAGAAUCUCUUGAUUGUUUUAUUUUUGUUGUUUGUUGUUUUUAGAAAACAAUUGGUGUAUCUGAGGGUGUAAACGAGCCAGGCCGAGUCCAAGCUCGACUGGGCUCGAGCUCGGCUCGUCAUAUUUUUUAUAUUUUUUAUGAAGCUCGAGCUCGAGCUCGGCUUGGUUCGAGCCUACUUAUUUGAGGUCGAGCUCGGAUCGACUUGAGUUAUUUUGGGAACAAUCUCAAACGAGCUAAAAGCUCAGCUCGAUCUCGCUUCAAUAUUGCUUGAACGAGCCAAAGCUCGGCUCGCCACUGUUAUUAUUAUUAUUAUUAUUAUUAUUAUUAUUAUUAUUAUUAUUAUUAUUGUUGUUAUUAUUAUUAUUAUUAUAUUAUAUAUAAAAACUAAAAUGGUGUUUGGACUUGUUUAGGCUCGCGAGCCUAAACGAGCUUUGUAUUUUAGGCUCCAGCACGAUAAAGAAACGAGCUCUAUUUUAGGCUCGAGCUCAGACUAGUUAAAGCUCUGCUCAUUCAAGCUUUUAACCGAGCCGAUAACGAGUAGUUCUCGAGCCUCCUGGCUUGUUUACACCCCUAGGUGUAUCAUUGGUCUUCUUUUGUACUGUAAAAAAAUUGGGUUUUUAAUAAAAAAAUAUAUUUUAUGAUUGGCUUGAUUGAUAAGCGUGUAAUAUGUUAGAUUCGAAUAACAUAUUGACUAGAUUAUAUAUAUAUAUAUAUAUAUAUAUAUAUAUAUAUAUAUAUGGUAUUUUGAUUUUUUUAAUCAAAUUUUUAGUUACUGAAUAUCAAAUUUUAAUCAAAUGUUUCAUUCCAUGAUUACUCUGUUUAAUUGAGUUUGUUAUCAUGUUUCAUUCCAUGAUCACUGUUAUUGUUGUAAUUAGUAAAAAUACUUCAGUUAUGUAAAUUUUUGUACGCAUUAUCAUAUUUUUUUCUAUUACCAACACUUUGUAAUACACGGCAAUAUACGAAAGCUUUGUUUGGUGGACCUACCAACUUAAGGAAAAUAUGAUUUCCUCUAAAGAUGAAGUUAUUUAAAUCAAAUCUGGUGGGUUGAGAAAACUUAUGCUGGAGGCUGUUACGUUUGGUUCCAUUUUGUGGGAUGUUGAGAGCUACGCUAAUUCCAGGAUCAGGUUAAGAUGAUGAUAGCGGAGUCUUCAUCAGAAACAUGAUGGAGUGGACGCAUAUGUUGUAUGUGGUCAUGGGAUUGCAUGGCUAGGAUCGAACACUACAUAUGAUAACAAGGUGUUUCGUAUUACAAAGAAGAUGAAGAUGUCUAUUGUUUUAUUACUGACCCUUGUGAUUGUGUGAUUUAUUUUAUAUUGUAAAUAAAUAACAGUUUUAAGUAACCAAAUUAAUAUGAUGAACAUUUGUAG